rnacentral:sRNA from 1 species
GGAUGUGAGGGUGAUCUGGCUGUGACAUUUAUCACCCCAUAGAUUGCCAGGGCUGAUCUGCUGAUCUGGCCGGCUAGGAGGAUGUCCCCUUCCACUCUCGCUCUCCACGUGUGUCGCUCCCGAAGCUGCACUGGCCCAGUGGAAAAGGAUGAUUACACGCAAUAGACGGGGACCAUUUCCUCUGUCCAGGGUGUACCAGUAGCUGUGCUCCCCAACUGAAACCUCCAAAGAGCUCUCGAGAGCCUCU